UCUUUGAUUCAUGUUUAAUAACAAAAGAUAAACACGAACACUACAAAAAAAACAAUAAACGCGGAAAACCAAAAACAGCCCAAACACAGAGACAGGAACAAUCACCCACAAACACACUAGUGAAACCCAGGCUACCUAAAUAUGGUUCCCAAUCAGAGACAAUGACUAACACCUGCCUCUGAUUGAGAACCAUAUCAGGCCAGACAUAGAAAUAGACAAACUAGACAUCCAACAUAGAAUGCCCACUCAGAUCACACCCUGACCAACCGAAACAUAGAAAGAUACAAAGCAAACUAUGGUCAGGGUGUGACACAUACUGUGUAAACAACAGGUGUAGACUAACAGUGAAAUGCUUACUUACAGGCCCUUUUCCAACAAUGCAGAGAGAAAGAAAAUAGAGAAAUAAUAGAAAAGUAAAGCAUGUAAUAAUAAAUACACAAUGAGUAACGAUAACUUGGCUCUAUACACAGAGUACCAGUACUGAGUCAAUGAUAACAUGGCUCUAUACACAGAGUACCAGUACUGAGUCAACGAUAACAUGGCUCUAUACACAGAGUACCAGUACUGAGUCAAUGAUAACAUGGCUCUAUACACAGAGUACCAGUACUGAGUCAAUGAUAACAUGGCUCUAUACACAGAGUACCAGUACUGAGUCAAUGAUAACAUGGCUCUAUACACAGAGUACCAGUACUGAGUCAAUGAUAACAUGGCUCUAUACACAGAGUACUAGUACUGAGUCAAUGAUAACAUGGCUCUAUACACAGAGUACCAGUACUGAGUCAAUGAUAACAUGGCUCUAUACACAGAGUACCAGUACUGAGUCAAUGAUAACAUGGCUCUAUACACAGAGUACUAGUACUGAGUCAAUGAUAACAUGGCUCUAUACACAGAGUACCAGUACUGAGUCAAUGAUAACAUGGCUCUAUACACAGAGUACCAGUACUGAGUCAAUGAUAACAUGGCUCUAUACACAGAGUACCAGUACUGAGUCAACGAUAACAUGGCUCUAUACACAGAGUACCAGUACUGAGUCAAUGAUAACAUGGCUCUAUACACAGAGUACCAGUACUGAGUAACGAUAACUUGGCUCUAUACACAGAGUACCAGUACCGAGUCAAUGAUAACAUGGCUCUAUACACAGAGUACCAGUACUGAGUAACGAUAACUUGGCUCUAUACACAGAGUACCAGUUUGUAAGUUAUCUUGUACAUAAUUGUUGCUGUUACCAUCUCUUAUGACCGAAAAGAGCUUCUGGAAAUCAGAACAGCGAUAAACUCACCUCAGAUUAAACAAAUAUUUUUUUCUUUAAUGAGUCCUACGUGAAGGAUAUACUGCUUCUCCGAGACUAGGCCCAAAUCCCCGUCAUCUGUUACCAACAGAUGCAUAUCAUGUGAAAUCUAUAGACUAGGCCCAAAUCCCCAUCAUCUGUUACCAACAGCUGCAUAUCAUGUGAAAUCUAUAGACUAGGCCCAAAUCCCCAUCAUCUGUUACCAACAGCUGCAUAUCAUGUGAAAUCUAUAGACUAGGCCCAAAUCCCCAUCAUCUGUUACCAACAGCUGCAUAUCAUGUGAAAUCUAUAGACUAGGCCCAAAUCCCUGUCAUCUGUUACCACCAGCUGCAUAUCAUGUGAAAUCUAUAGACUAGGCCCAAAUCCCCAUCAUCUGUUACCAACAGCUGCAUAUCAUGUGAAAUCUAUAGACUAGGCCCAAAUCCCCGUCAUCUGUUACCAACAGAUGCAUAUCAUGUGAAAUCUAUAGACUAGGCCCAAAUCCCUGUCAUCUGUUACCAACAGAUGCAUAUCAUGUGAAA